rnacentral:lncRNA from 1 species
AUAGACAUGAUAUCUAAUAGUGGCAUAGUUAAACAAAUGAGAAUAGUUCUGGAAACCCAGCCUUGACAAGUAGAUAAACAAUAUUAAGCGAAUGACAGUAUCCUAUAGGUAGGAUCUCUAGCAAUUGACAAUCGAGCCUUGAUUUUAUAACACUUUACCUCUAUGAGCAGGUUACCUAGGCGGAGCAAUAACAAUAAUAGUAGCUAAUUGAUUAAUUAAGGUCCUAUAGACAUGAUUUCUAGGUGAAAAUCAAUAGAACAUAAGCUAGUGGGAUCUUAUAGGUAUGGUAUUUAAUGAAUAUGAAGCAGUUAUGCGGAUUGAGAGAAUGUUUAUUUCUUAUAGGUAUGUUGUCUAGUAACACAUAGCAGUAGAAUAAAAUAGAGUGUUUACACCCGUGCUUCGAUGAUAGACAAGUUAUGUGUGUGUGUGUGAGUUUCCUAAAGGCAUGGUUUCUACCAGUGGAAGCAAGUCAGGUAAAUCACAUGAACCCUAUGGGCAUGUUUUCUACCCUUGCAUGCAAAUAGUAGAUUAUACUCGUUCCCCAAAUUUCACUAACACCCCCAAUUAUUUAUUACAAAGUUAUUACAGACCCAAUGAUGAAUGUAGUUACAAAAUUAUAAAAGCACUAAUAGUAGGCCCGCAGCAGGCCCAAAAGGAAAUACCCAGCAUUGCCUGGGCCUUCAACAACUCUCAUAGCAUACCCAGAUUUCCAACAUGGAACUAUAUUCAUCAGCACAGCCCGGAAAUCAUAGAGGAAUUCAAGCCAAACCAAACAGCAAUAGAUUGACCAUAUUACCCAAACAUUAAAUCACUUAAACCAACCAAUUUACAUAUUCAGUAGAUAGAAUGAGGGGAGAACUGAGUGUUAGAGAUAGCUCAAGCCUCAGUAGUAAAGAGAGUGGCUAAAAGACCCCAAAUCCUAGUAUGUCAGAGUUCACAAGAGUCUCAAAUGGACCCCGAGCAGUGCUCACACUAGGGAGGUCAGUAGUAAGAGUCUUAGUGGCCUUGGCUUUUAGCCGGACAAGAAUGAUAGGUUCCGAAUAGCACAGGUACCAAAUAAGAGUCAGUGGACAAUGGUUAAGGGACAAAAAUUGAGGAAAUACACUUAUAGCUUAAAGUAGACAUAGCAUAAUUGAAAACAUAGAACGUACUAGUUAAGAAGGCCAACAAGACUUAGAAGUAGGUUCAACACUUAGCAAAAUAACGCAUUAACAUAAAUGUGUUGAAAGACUUAGGGGAGAAACAAGUUCGCAAGAUUAACAAGAUUAUCAUACAAAGGUGCAUAAUACCAAACAAGUCUAAGUAGGGCACUAACUUAAAAGGUUUAAAGCCUAAAGGUCCAAAUUAUGCUAAGGAUUCAUCACAAUAUCAUAAGACAACCAUGUUAACUUAUAUCAUGAAACAGAACAGUAUCAAACAUGGUAGGGAAACACAAAUUAAGAAUAGCUAUUCCAAAGGUCUCAAAUAAUCACUACGGCUGCAAACCAAAACAUGUUGGGGGACAUACUAACAGAAGACCAAGUCAUAGUUGAUAGUGAGGAUCUUAAGACACAUUAUAGGAGUUCAAAACAGAGUGAAAAUGCAAGCUCAAUGUCAAAUAGCAAAUGUAGACAUUCAGGUAUCAACAUUAGGCUAAUACGAACUUAACAUGGUCUAAAUCAUUCAAGCGAACCAUAUUCAAAUAACAUAUCUCAGAACUGGUAGCUUUAGGUGAAAUUAAAUACUAAAGAGGCUCAAAGCGAGUGUAAAGCUAACAAAGUUGUACACAAAAGUAGUUCAGAAACACAUUGAGCCAUGAAUUUCAGAAAUAAGAAUAUGCAACUCUUAAAAGACACACAAGAACGAAAUUGCAAAAGUCAAGUGACUUACCAGUUAAACGGAUAACAAUAAAGAAAAAAAUUCCACAGUAUUCUGAAUCAACAAAGAGCAAGAACCCAAAAUCUUAAUGCGUCAAAGUUCCCAAGGGCUUCAAAGGAACCCCGGAAAAUGCUCGCACCAAGAAAAUGUUGAAAAAUCGAAUCCCAAUGGCCUUGGCUUUCAGCCGGCAAGUACAGAACAAGAAAAUGAGGGAAUAACAGAACAAAUAGCUUCAAUUUUUUAGUGAAAUCUAACAAUUAAGGUAUAUUUCAAAGGGGAAUGGGGAAAGGUUUAUAUAGUAGUAGAAAUCCGGCAAAGAAAUAAGAAAUAUUGUAAAAUUAACAUAAAUAAGGAAAUAAUAUCAUGUAGAAUCAGCAAAAAGUCAGAUUAGAGAAAGAUUAAGUAAACCCUAAUUAAUCGGAAAUUGGCCGGAGAUCUUAGCUAAUCAGACCCAUAUAGCCUGGCCAUGAUGCAUAUGGACGAGAUAUCAUCCAGAUUUAAGCGAUUGAAGUUGAAUGGCCAGAAUCUGAGAGAUAGUACUUGCCAUGCUGAGGCAAGUACUAAGUGAUACCAUGAUCAUGCGGGUAGUACUAAGAUAACACAUAAAAGGCAAAAAAAUCAUGAAAAGAAUCUAUGGUUGAGACGAAUUUGGAGAAAAUUGAGAUGGCGGCUAGGAUUUCUAAGGAGAGGAGAAGAGAGGAUUCAAGGGCGGAAUAUGAGAGAAAAUGAUAGGGUUUUGGGGCGGGUUAGGUUAACUAAAACGGGAGAAUGGCUAUUGGUCGUUGAUCAUUUGAGAUUAACGGCUAGGAUUAGAGGGGAAGUGAGGUAGGUCACAGAACGGGUCCCGACCGGGUUAUACUAAAGGGGUCAUUUGGUCUUGUCCAGGGGGUUAGGCUAAGGAUACUAGGCGAAUUUUGGUUCAAAAAUUAGUUUAAAGUUGGGCUACUAUUUAAAAUAUACAAAAAUAAUUUAUAAAAACACUUGAUAAAUAAAUAAAAAUAUUUAUGUACUAAAAUAAUUAAAAAUAAUAACUUAGUAUUAUAAAAAUAUAAAAUACUAUUUUGACACAAAUAAUAUAUAUAAAAACAUUUAUGCAUGAGUAUAGGCUAUUACUACAAAAUUGUGCAAAUAGCUUAACAAAUGCUAAUGUAAUUAUAUAAAAUGAAGUAAAAUUAUUUAAAAUAUAUAUUAUAGGUGAAAAUAAUAAUUUUAGGUAACUAAGUCAUCACAAAAUAAUUUGAAGAAGUAAUUAAUAAUUAUUCAAGUAAUUUAAGUACAAGAAAAUCAAUUUAAAAGCUUUAAAAAUUAUGGAAAAUUAUAGAAAAUGCUCGUAUAGAUUUUCAAGCUAAAUAAUGAUGCAAAAAUGAUGUUUUUAAAGUAUAUAUAUACUAUUUUAGAAAAUAUGAGUGCCAAAUUGGGUAUCAACACCGCGUCGCAAAUAUAUUCUGCGAGUGGGGAAAAUUUUCACUACUCUCAUGGAAGCGGGCCGUUCGCCUCGACAAGUUAAUAGAUGCAUCUAUGGUUCGUAUCGUUCGACCCUCAGCAGUGCACAGUUUAUAUUUAUAUGUUGGAUCGGAUCGUACGACCUCGACAUGACUUGCGCAUGAUAAUUCUUUGGAACUAAUAAUAAUUGAUAUUGUUCCAUUGGCUUGAGAUACAAAUUGUUAAAUGAUAAAAAUAAAUUUGGAAAUAUGUAUUAGUAAAAGGAUUGUUUAUUAUUUUUGGCUAUUUAGUUUCCAGUUAUAUUAUGUAAUUCAUGCUUAAUUAUAACAUCGGUAUUUUAUUGUUCGCCCAUAGUAAGUGUCAGAGUCGACCCCACGUCACUACUUCUUCGAGGUUAGACGGGAUACUUACUGGGUACGUGAUUUACGUACUCAUACUACACUUGCUGCACAUUUUUGUAUAGGUACAUAUAUGUCUCGUGGCGUUGUGGGUGCAGAGGCAUGGUUAAUGCUGGGACUUAGGUGAUUGCAUUCCAUGUUACGAUUCGCAGUCAGCAGAGUCUCCUUCAGAGCUAUUUAUAUUUUUCCUGUCUAAUAUGUGUUCCGGACAGAUGUUGUAUUUUAUUUUACUCCUUAGUUGAUGUUCAUGCACUUGUGACACCAGAUUUUGGGGUAAUUAUGGAUUGUUCAGUAUUAUAAUUUUGAAAAUAUUAUCACCUACUCUAUAAAACUUUAUCUCUUAUUAUUUAAUUGAAGGAAAAAAUUUGAUUUCAAAAUACUAAAAUGAGUAAUCAAGUUAAUCAAUUAUCGUUAGCUUGUCCUACAACGGGUUAGGCGCCAUCACGACAUUUAACGGAUUUGAAUCGUGACAGAACUGAUUUCAAUAUCAUAACUAUUAUUUCUAAAGUUGUAAUACAUCCAGAAAACUAUCAAAGAGCUUAUAUUGAAUUACCUCCAAACAGCUUAAGGAGGAAACAUUAUGACCAAAUGAAGGCCAGCCACUCCACAGCUAAAUGCAGAAAAUCAGCAAAUACUCUCAGCAACUUAAGAACAGCAUAAUCAACCACCACUCAAAAUCCCACUAGAAUUGAAACAAAAACCAGUAGAAAAAAAAAGGAAAGAGAAGCAGCUUUGAAUUCUUUCUUUUUGUUAUAUUUUCUGUAUCUAGACUUGAACUUUUCAACUUCUUUAUUUUUUGAAAAAAAAAAAAAUUAGUGUGGGUGAGAAAAGUAGCGUGAGGUUUUUUUGUAGACUUUUGUGUGUGUGAAAGGGAAGUGUGAGGUCUCUUUUAUAGAGUGUAAGAGGAAAAGGGGAGGAUAAAAAGGAAUCUUGUCAGCUAAAAAUUAGGGGAGGGCGUCUAUUUUUUUUAACAGAAAAUAGACAGCUGUCAUAUUUUUUUAGCAGCUGUCCUUUUCUCUAUUUUUUUCAGCACCAUACCCUUUUUUAAAGUAACCUUUUUACCCCAACGUCUAACCUAAUUUCUGGUUUUCAUUACACUUUAACCUCUUUUCUGGAAGCUUCCUAAGUAACUACUCAGAUUCUCUAAUUUUGGUGUACUCUCUAGUCUACUCAAUUCUUGCAAAUUACUUUUCUUUUAACAUUCUAUAUUACCUCCAAACAUGCAGUCUUUUAUCCAAAUUUACGGCUCUUUUUUCCUUAUCACAAUUAAACUAAACAAAGCUAAACUAGCACUAGGAUAACAACACAAAGUAAACCUAAAUUAUCAACUAAUUAACGUAUUAAUUAGGAAAAUAGAUAAUUUAAACAAGCAACACGAUUAUCAAAUGAUUUCAGAUUCAACUAAAACAAAUAACCACUUAGAAAGUCAAAAUAAUUUUAAUUAUAAACCUAAGCAUGCUUGGAUUAACAGAAAUCACCAAUUAACCCAAUCACACACUCACAUGAAAGGCGUGUAUUUGAAAUACUAAUCUAAUCGGACAAUUAAACACACAGAAUGCAAUUGUAGUUCAAGGCAAGACAGUAGUGAUGCUACUUUAUUUUGCUAAAAUGAACUAACUUGAACAAUUACAAUUAACAUAAAAAUUAAUCUGAACUAACGACACAUUAAUGAGAAAAGAGCAGAGGAGAGAAAUACCUAUAGUGUUUGAAUGGGUUGUCAAAAGAAACGGAUUUCCGGCAAGCCGGAGAAAUUGCCACACAAACACUGGCCGGAUUUCUCCAUGCGAGAUAUUGUUCUAUGCAGCAAAUAUCUCCUACUGACCCGAUAAAAUGAAGCAGAACAAGGCGAGGAUGAGUUGUGCGACCCAAUGGAGCUUGACCAAGGUUCUGGUGGUCAUGAGAUCAGUAAAGUUCAUGCAAUCAUCAAGAGAAGUCAACUGGUGUAGGUUUCGAUCUCAAAUGAGCCAGAAUUAGGGACAAAUUAAAAAAGGGAAAACUUUAAGGUUUUUGCGAUUUCUUAGAUUUGAAAUUAAAGGAUUUUGGGGAGGUUUUCUGGGAAAAUUGGUAGGAGAUUUGGGAUUAGGAGGGGAAGGAGAUUGUAUGGUGAUAAAAUUGGGCCAUUUGGUAUGGUGCCGCCGCCAUAGGGUGAUUUUCGGCGGCGGUAUGUCAGGAGAAGGGUAAUAGAUUGAGAGAUGGGGGAAAUGAAGGGGUUCU